AAACAAGGACAAAUUCAAUGAAGACAGAAGCUGGUCUGAAGGGUUCCUGGCCAAUCUGUGAAUGAUUUAAACAUCACAAAGAAUGACAUCGAUGGAUUAAAACACAUGAAAUUAUGUGACCAGAAAAUGUUGGGGACCACUGCAUCAGACCCCUGGGUCUGGCCACAAUUCUUGCCAGAAAUUGAAUUGGAGGGUGCAGGGUCUAUGAAGGAACAAGGAAAGCAGCCACUGCAUUCACAGGCAAGGAGGAGGCAACCACACAGGAAAUUCCUCAUCUCAGAAGAAAUCGGACAAGAAAAUUAACAAAACUUCUACCAACAAGUGAGCAGUCAAAUCAACCUGAUAGUGCUGCCUGCAGCAGCCAAUAUAAGGGGUACAUUGGUGAGAACCAAGGCUCCUCCAAGCACAGCUCUGUUCCCAGAAGGAGCUGCCUCAGUCACAUUAGCUUCAGCGCAAAUUGGCUCAGGCCCCCAGCUCCUCUCCUCCAUUUCAAUAAUAAACUCCUGAGCCUGCUUCACGUAA